CCCCUAGAUGUUCUGGGCCGCACGCGCGCUACACUGAACAGUUCAACAAGUCUUAACCUUGGCCGAUAGGUCUGGGUAAUCUUUGAACGCUGUUCGUGAUUGGGAUAGACCUUUGCAAUUAUGGGUCUUCAACGAGGAAUUCCUAGUAAACGCAAGUCAUCAGCUUGCAUUGAUUACGUCCCUGCCCUUUGUACACACCGCCCGUCGCACCUACCGAUUGAGUGAUCCGGUGAAUAAUUCGGACUGCAGCACUGCUUGGCCUCCAGGCUUUGCAGCGGAAAGUUUAGUGAACCUUAUCACUUAGAGGAAGGAGAANUCGUANCA
rnacentral:rRNA from 1 species